AGGCAGGACCACAUUGCUGGGGAUACAGGGUCUGCCUCUAAAAUCAUGAGCUUAAACUGAGCCUGAAACUGCAGGUGCAGAUGACACAGCUCUAGAGUUUUUUGUGAUGGCAGUGUGUUCUUCAAGGUAGAGAAACCAGGAAACAUGCUGCUUGACAGCUAAUGCACCUUAUCUGUCUGUCUCAAAAUCAGAAGUGGCCCAGAGCAUAAAUGCAGAUACUUGCAGAGCCCCAGGUGACAGUAAAUCACCAGGGACCAAUGCCUCAGCUACCAAUCAUCAGAAUAUCCAGUUACAAGAAUGUCUAAUUAAUGGGGAGAACCAGUAAAACAAAGAGGAAUCUUUAUAAAACAGGCUGGAAAAGAAAUUAACUAUAGACCCCAUAUCUGCUAGUAAGAAAAAAAAACAUUCAAGAGCUCUGAUUUUGCAUCUUGCAGCUGCACAGCACUCCCACAUACUACCCGUGUCAAGCUGGCUCCAAUAUUGGAGACAGUGUGUGGAAAAGGAAAUAAUCAACACCAUUUCAGCAGAGAAA